CCCUUAGAGUUUGAUCCUGGCUCAGGAUGAACGCUGGCGGCGUGCCUAACACAUGCAAGUCGAACGAGGUAAAUGAGAUGAAGUUUUCGGAUGGAUUCUUAUUUACCGAGUGGCGGACGGGUGAGUAACGCGUGGGUAACCUGCCUCAUACAGGGGGAUAACGAUUGGAAACGAUUGCUAAUACCGCAUAAGCGCACAGUACCACAUGGUACAGUGUGAAAAACUCCGGUGGUAUGAGAUGGACCCGCGUCUGAUUAGCUAGUUGGUGAGGUAACGGCCCACCAAGGCAACGAUCAGUAGCCGACCUGAGAGGGUGACCGGCCACAUUGGGACUGAGACACGGCCCAGACUCCUACGGGAGGCAGCAGUGGG
rnacentral:rRNA from 1 species